rnacentral:lncRNA from 1 species
GAGUUAGGUGCCUGUCUGCAGCAACAGGAAGUGGUUAGUCAAGCAGGGCAAUGAUCCGGGGCUGGUGACAUCAGCACACCAGACACACUGGUCUUCAAAUCAUGGCUUCUUAGGUUGUGAUCACUAUGACAAAGAAUGCUUACCGUGGCCAUGAUGUGGCCUUCAAUGACAGCAGUGAUAAAAGUAACGGAGAAGGAAGGGAAGUGGGUGUGAAGACCAGCAGUGUCCUCGGGAGGUUUGCUAUGACCCACACUGGGAAGGACACUGAAAGAGAAACCAAAGAGAAAAGAGAAGCCAAGCAGCAAUCAAUGCUGGCGCCAUCCUCCUCACUGUCUUCUGUGCCGUGUUUCUGGUUGUGCAGAAAAAGUGGAGAUAAUUCUUCUACUGAAAAAAAAAUUUAUCAUCAAAAAGAUUUUUAAAUUUACAUCUUCAAAUACUUCCUACCUUGUGAUUCUCCAAGACACCAAUUUUUUCCCAUGUUAUAUGGUCUUAAUCCACUAUCUUUCCCCUAAUACCUUUAUCUACCUUCAUAUAAGUAUUUCUUAUAUGUCUAUAGUUUUACUUUUAGCUGUAAGCUGUGUAAAAUUCUGAUUAUUAUUCUGGAAAACACUCAAAGAAAAUAUUAUGAGAUUACAUCUAUGCAACGUGACCAAGAAACUCUUCUGAAAACCUUCUUUGCCUGUUAGCAGAGCACAUGAAAGCAUACACAGAAGUUAACAAAGUGUUUCCCUCAAACCUUCAAAUUCAACAUAACGCUUAGAAGAAAAUGUAGAGAAAAAUCUCCAAGGACAUGGAACAAUAAUACAAGGAAGAUGCAAACUUCUGAAUGAAAUGCAGAAGAAUCAAUAUCCACCAAAGAGAAGUUCCAAAAAGUAAGAACAGAGGAAAUGGAGAAGAGGAAGUUACUGAAGAGAUAAUAGAACAGCAUUUUCAUGGGCUAAAGUAAAUAUAAUGCUCCAGACUGAAAAGAAUGGCUGACUGGUAAGCAGGAAAGGCGGGAAAAGAAAUGCAAGGAAAAUCCUAAUAGCUUCCAGAGAGAACAAACAAGACAAACAAGACAGCUAUGAGGAAUCAGAAUCAAACUGGCAUUAGGCUUCUUGCCAGCCUGAGUGAAAACUGGAAUUAAAUGCAGAAAGAUCUUCAAUAUUCUAAGAAAACACCACUGUUGUCUAGUCAUAAAUCUCAAUUAGAUAAGAGAAUGAAAGGUAGAUGGUUUUAAUUUUACAAGAACUUAGCAAAAUUUACCACCUGUGCAUCCUACCUUAAAAAACAACCCCUCAAGUCUAUAAUCCCAGCACUUUGGGAGGCCGAGGCGGGUGGAUCACGAGGUCAAGAGAUCGAGAUCAUCCUGGUCAACAUGGUGAAACCCCAUUUCUACUAAUACAAAAAAAAAAUUAGCUGGGCAUGGUGGCGCAUGCCUGUAAUCCCAGCUACUCAGGAGNNNNNNNNNNNNNNNNNNNNNNNNNCCCUUCUGCCACGUGAGGACACAUAGAAGGUGCUAUCUGUGAGAAACAGGCCCUCACCAGACACCAAAUCUGCUAGUGCCUGGAUCUUGGAGUUCCCAGCCUCUGGAACUGUGAGAAAUAAAUCUAUGUUGUUUAAAAAUCACCUAGUACUAUACAGAGAAUUUGGUUAUAGCAGCUGGAACAGACGAAGACAAUUCUGGAUACCUAACAAUUGUCAACUUCAGGGGUAUUAUAGAUUUAGAUGCCCUGAGUUCAAAUUUCAAAUCCAUUAGUUUUACUUCUAGCCAAUGAGAUCACCUCCCUGAGUCUGGGCUUUUUUGCUACAAAGGUGGGGCAGUAAGAGUGUUCCCCAACUUCUCCCAGUCUGCAGGUCCCCACCGCCCCGCUCCCCGCCUCCCGGAGGAUUUCACUCCUCCUCUUUGUGGUUUUGAAAAAGCCAACUAAAUCCUUUCUAUCCACUUAAAUAAAAGGUGCAUUAAAUUUAGCUGAAAAGAUGAAAUACUUUAUAAAGCACCACACUCUGCACAGGAUGUGGAUGGGCUGAAGACGCAUUUCCAGGAUCACAGGGCAAGCUCUCAUGGGUUCCCUGCAGCCCAUCCAGGGAAGAGCAGGGAUUCAGAGGCCAGGCUCGGCAGGCAGCUGCCUUGGGGCCCAGUCUUUUUUCAAGGGUCAGUUUUGACAUUCUGUAGAACCUGAAAACUGCCUCUCAAAAC